rnacentral:rRNA from 1 species
UACGUAGGGUGCAAGCGUUGUCCGGAAUCAUUGGGCGUAAAGAGCGUGUAGGCGGUUCGGUAAGUCCGCUGUGAAAGUCCAGGGCUCAACCCUGGAAUGCCGGUGGAUACUGCCGGGCUAGAGUCCGGAAGAGGCGAGUGGAAUUCCUGGUGUAGCGGUGAAAUGCGCAGAUAUCAGGAGGAACACCGAUGGCGAAGGCAGCUCGCUGGGACGGUACUGACGCUGAGACGCGAAAGCGUGGGGAGCAAACAGG